CCAUCGGUAGUUCAGUCGUAAAAUACUCGCCUGCCGCCCGGGUUCGAUUCCCGGCCGAUGCA
rnacentral:tRNA from 1 species